UACGUAGGGUGCAAGCGUUAAUCGGAAUUACUGGGCGUAAAGCGCUUGUAGGCGGUCCACCAAGUUUGGGGUGACAGUUGCCGACUUAAUCGGCAAAGUGCCUCAAAGACUGGCGGACUUGAGGGCCACAGAGGGACAUGGAACUCCAGGUGUAGUGGUGAAAUGCGUAGAUAUCUGGAGGAACACCAAAGGCGAAGGCAGUGUCCUGGGUGGUCGCUGACGCUGAGAGGCGAAAGCCAGGGGAGCGAACGGG
rnacentral:rRNA from 1 species